GAUUUCAACUCUCAUACAAAACAUAAGAAAAGCUUCAAGAUUGGCAAGAGCUCUCUACUGCUCCUCUGCUUCAUCAACAGCUUCAGGACCCCUUGCUGUUGCUCCACAGUGUGUAGGAAAUUUUCAAAGUUUUUUCUACAACCCUGUGGGCUCGAUAGUCAAUUUAAAAAAAAAUGACCCUCUACACCUAAGAGGACUAUAGGAUCUACAGAUCUAAGGAAAACAUCACAUAUUGCAAGAUUUAAGAUAAAACCACAGCACUCAGGCAAGUAAAAUAAUUCCAAGCUCAAGGGAAGUGUCCAGCACACAAUAAAUAGCCAGAGCCAACAAGCUUC